UUCUGUAGUUACCAUAUUCGCAUUCAUCUUUUAGAUAAAGUUUUAUCGUUGCCCUCCAUGUAUCACGUGUUAUUUCUUACUUAUAUAAAUGUAAUGUCUCAUGUUUUUGUAUAUGUACAAACUGAGAGUUACAUGAAAUAGACUUUAAACUUUAAAAAAAAAAUUAAUUUAGUUGGUGUAAACUGUAAUUUUACAAGGAUAUGAUUCAUUUUGGAAAGACGUAUUAAACCGAUUGACCGUGGCCGACUGGCUAAGCUUGCUGACUUCGAAUCUGCUGUUCCUCACCGCUGUGGGUACGAAACCUCGCUUUGAGUUUAAAAUUCUUUUAUGGCUGAAGAUGUCAGUGUAUAAUCAUCAACCCGGAAAUAAUACAAAAAUUGAAUAAUACAUAUGACUGACAAAUGAAAAUGUUUCAUGGAAGAAAACGAGUGUGUAAACUAUGUUACUGGUUAAUGAUAAUAACAUGCUGUAUAGUAAUAUCAAUGUUCCUAAGGAGACUGUACAUAAUAGGAAUAGGGUAUAUGCCUAAAAGGCCAGCGGAACCAUUUAACAGAAACUUCGAUAAAUAUGUGGUCAAAUAUAUUGCCAAUCACUGGAAAUCAUCCCCUAUGAAAACUAGUUAUUGUUUGGACGUCUUAUUUUGGCGAAUGGGGCUGGGAAACAUGGGCUGAGGAUUCUAUGAAAAGAUGUCCUGCCAAGUGCACUUUCACUCGAGAUAAAACUAUUGUUGGCGACGCAGACGCUGUACUGUUUAAUGCUAAUGACAUGUGGAAAUACCGGACUUUAAUUGGUACUUUGUAUGAAUUUAAUAUACCAAUGCCAGAAGUGAGAACUCCAAGUCAAGUCUGGAUUUUACUCAGCAUAGAGCCAAUGAAUACAAUGAGAGUAUCAAUGAAUCAGUUUGGGUUUAACUGGACAUGUUUACAUCGUAGAGAAUCAACUGUAUAUUACCCUUUUACUAAUUGGUUUAAAAUGUCCUCUGAUGAAAUCAAGCACAAAGAGACAAAUGUUGCCUCACCUGAAAAUUAUUUAAAAUCUAAAUCAAAAUUUGCUGCAGCUAUGAUCAGUAACUGUGAUGAUGACGCUAGGAGGUACAAAAUUAUCAGAGAACUGAAAAGAUACGUUGAAGUAGACGAAUUUGGAGACUGUUCUGGAAACGUGAUUUGUAAUUACAGAAAAUCUCCAAACGAAUGUAAACAGUUAUAUGACUACAAAUUUUAUUUAGCAUUUGAUAAUAGUUUUUGUAGGGAUUACGUAUCUGAGAAAUUUUGGUUGACAUUUGAUAGAGGACAAAUACCCGUUGUUGCGGCACCGAAAUAUAACUUAGAAAUGUUACCUCCUAAUUCCUAUAUAAAUGUGUUUGAUUUUAGUAGUAUUGAAGCAUUGGCUGAGAGAAUGGUUGAGGUGGGGGCCAAUGAGACGCUUUAUAACAGCUUUCUUCGACUGGAAGAAAAUGUACAGUCGCGAUGAAAGAUCGGUAUAUUGUAAACUGUGUCAAGAACUACAUGCUAACAAAACUGCUCAAAGUUAUAUUAAUAUGGAUGGAUGGAUCAACGAAGAUAUUUGUACGAAACAAACGCUAUGGUCAUCACUGUCAGCAUUACUUGAGAGAUGGCUGUUCGAUAUUGGACUGGUCUAAAUCUUCAUCCCUGCCCUACUUAUCCUUUAUAUUCCACACUGCACACAAAGAACAGGACGCAUAGGAAACGGCUAAAAUGCCUUUCCUUGGAAUGCCAGAAGCUUCUACCGAAAUCCAACUUGUCUAUCUGAUUUUUUCAAGGUGUUGACAAAAAUGAACAACUGUUCUAUGAUGUGAUACUCAAAUGAAUUUCAUCGUUGACAAGUUUUGACGUCCUACAAUUGUCCCUAAAACAAGUUUGUUUUGUUAAAUUGCCUCUUCAUGCUUUUAAUGUGCAUGUUAACUGAUUUCUAAGUAGUAUAUGUUUUCUGUAUCUUUUCUUAUCAAUGUUAUCGUUUAGAUAGUAUAUGACUUGCCUCUUAUUCAUGAAACGUCUAUGCAAGAGCUGUUUAAUUAACUUGCAAAAAUAAAUCCUUGCGAAUAUUUCUGAUUUAACCGUAAGCAUCUACAGAUACAGGUAAUUAGAUGCUAUAGAUUAGAGGUCAUUUACCAGGUAUUACAAAGCAUGAUUAAUUAGAGUAACCAGUGUCUCUUGAGAAAACAAUAUUUCAUAACUGGGAAGUACAUUGUGCCAACUGGAUUAUUCUAUCUUUAGUGUUUCAUUAGAAAGUUUUCAUUUUUUUAAGUGUUUGAUGUAUAUUCGUCACUGGUGUCUUGUUUUAUUAUUUUUUAUCUGUUUGUAGUAACUGAAAACUAGUGAAAUUAUGUUUUAUGUUUUACUACAUCCGACCUUUUUAUUUACCCCUAAUCAUCCCACCCUCAUUUUUCUGUAUUUAGCAUAUAUUUAUAAUGUACUUAUUGCUGGAUUUUUGAAGCAACCUGUCUACAAUAUUUUUCAGUUACAGCUUCUUUUUGUUAUGGGCGUACUUUGCGAUGUAUGGCUCUAUGGCUGUGUUUUUGGUGCUAUGUGCUUCCGGGAAAUUUACUCUUACAUUUUAUCUUUUUAAUAGUAUCGAGGUCUCCAAUUUUAGAUAUUUUGAGAAUACAGCACUGUAUUUACGGUCAGUGUAUACAAUGUAUUUUUCUAACUGGAAUAUAUUUUUAAAUAACGAUUAAUGAUCAAUAGAAAUUGCUUAAAUAUCAGAUUUACACCUUAAAUAUGUAUCUUUCUUUCAAAGGAUAGAUGUAUAUAUAUAUAUUUAAAAAAAAUGGUUAAGAGAAAUAAAAAAAGAGAAACCUUCCGUAAAUAAAUCGAAGACGUUGUUCAGAAAAAAAAAUGUGAAUAAGAAACUUUAGUUUUAUUCUGGAUUAAAUAUUAAACAAUUGACUUAAGCAGCCACAUGAAAAUAAAGUUUUAAAACCAUUGACUUCAGCGGCCACAUGAAAAUAAACCAUUGACUUCAGCGGCCUAAUGAAAAUAAACCUUUGACUUCAGCGGCCACAUGAAAAUAAAUCAUUGACUUCAGCAGCCACAUGAAAAUAAACCAUUGACUUCAGCAGCCACAUGACGAUGAACCAUUGACUUCAGCAGUCACAUGGAAAUAAACCAUUGACUUAAGCAGCCACAU
rnacentral:misc_RNA from 1 species